rnacentral:rRNA from 1 species
AUGCCGUACGAUGAGCGGUACACACCGUACAUCCAGCAGGCAGGACUCCUCCCGUGGAUUCAGUUGGUCAGUCGGUCCACGCCGAACCUCAACUCUCCACUGGUGUUCUCUCUUGUUGAUCGAUGGAGGCCGAAGACACACCGUUUCCAUCUUCGGGCUGGGGGGAUGACCGUGACGCUCGAGGAUAUCUCCUUGAUCACCGGUCUUCCUAUCGAUGGGAAGCCUCUCUGUAUGAGCACCGAUUCUGAUGGGUGGCGCCAAUAG